CCUACGGGAGGCAGCAGUAGGGAAUCUUCCGCAAUGGACGAAAGUCUGACGGAGCAACGCCGCGUGAGCGAUGAAGGCCUUCGGGUCGUAAAACUCUGUUGUUAGGGAAGAACAAGUAUCGGAGUAACUGCCGGUACCUUGACGGUACCUAACCAGAAAGCCACGGCUAACUACGUGCCAGCAGCCGCGGUAAU
rnacentral:rRNA from 1 species